AAGUUUAAUAAGUAAUAUUGUUUGGUUAUUUCACAAUGGGAAAACUUUAUAGUAAAGUUGUGCUUGUCACAGCAUCUAGUCAAGGAAUUGGUUUUGCCAUCGCUCGUAAACUUGCUCAAGAUGGAGCUCAUGUUGUGAUUUGUAGCCGAAAAAAGAAAAAUGUUGAUGAAGCUGUACAGGUUUUAAAAUCUGAAGGAUUGUCUGUAUCUGGCUUUGUUUGUCAUGUCGGAAAAUCUGAUGACAGGAAAGAGCUACUCGGAAAAAUUGAAUCUGAUUUAGGUCGCCUAGAUAUACUGGUUCUUAACGCAGCAGUAAACCCAUAUUUUGGUAAUAUUCUUGGGAUUCCAGAAAAUGCCUUUGAUAAAAUAUUUGAGGUAAAUGUAAAAUCAACAUUUAUGUUUAUCAAAGAGUCAGUUUCCCUUAUGCAGAAACAUAAUGGGGGAAGUGUGGUGAUUGUGUCUUCAUUUACUGCCUACAUUCCCCAGCAUAUACUGGGAAUCUAUGCAGUCAGUAAAACAGCACUUGUAGCCCUUACUAAAGCCCUCAUGCCUGAACUUAGCUCAAUGAAUAUUAGAGUAAACUGCAUUGCACCCGGCAUCAUCAGAACAAAGUUCAGCAAAUCUUUGCUUCAACAUGAAGAAGCAGUGAGGCAGCAGGUUCCUCUGGGAAGAAUUGGGAAUCCUGAAGACUGUGCUGGGAUGGUGGCUUUCUUAAGCUCAGAUGAAGCAUCUUAUAUAACUGGUGAAACCAUUGUGAUCAAUGGAGGCAUGACUUCCAGACUCUAAAGUUUAGAGAAAUUGAUUCAUGUGCAACUAUAUUUAGGUAUUGUUUAAUUGAUACUGAGAUAAGAGAUUUUAUAUAAAUGCAUUUUUUGAUUUUAUGCACUAACCCUCUAUUGUCUUGCAAAUCUAUCUUUACGAAAUAAAUCACAAAAGCAAAC